UCCUUGCUGUAUCAGCACAAGAUAUUUGCUUUAAUUCUUCACACUUUUAUUUAUUUUCAUAUAAAUAUAUAUUUGUGUGUAUGUGUAAUGUUAAAGUAAUUCCUCUGUCAUAUUUACUUGUCAUUGAUCAGUCAGCUUAAUCAUCACAGAAAAGGUUGUUGUAACACUAAAGGGUCUCUCCGUGUUAUUCUUGUCUUCUGCCUUCUGGUGAUCCCCACACUAUCAGAUAAUGUAGCUGAAUAUCAGUGUCCCUGCUAUUAAGCAUAUAUUAUAAAAGACCCUUAAUUCAUCCUGUCAUUUUUAGUGAAGCAGUAGCUGAAAUGAAGCUGUUAACUUGCCUCACUAGCCUGGUUUAGUUUGAAGUGGGGAUUUUAUAACACAAUUUAUGAAUAGUGGUGAUUAGAAAUACCAACAGACAUGAAAUAGAGGAACAGCCUUUUGUAUGAGUUAACACAGAAGUAUGAAUUCCUGCUGAUCUGGUUUACUUCUGGUGUGCUACUUAUUGGCACAUGAGUUUCACAGUGGGCAUCACAGACCACUGAAAAUUCAGGCUCAGAUGGUCAAUGUUUUUUAUUCUGUAAUACACGGUGUCAUUCAUCAGCUGUCACUUUUAAUUGCUGGGUGUUGGUCACUCGGACACAUAGUGAACCAUAAGAAAGAAACCUGUCAACAAAAUCCAUCAGGAAUGUUACUUUGGAAGAAGAGUUUAAGUGUUAUUUGUAAAGGACAACAAGAAAUCUUCAGACAUAAAGGAGAAGGAAAACAUACAGUUACAUACAAUGGCUGAUUAUUGUUACUGGUUUGCAGUGGAGGAAACUUGACCAUUUACUCUCUAUUCCCUACACAUGAAAGGAGUACCAGAAAUGUUCAGAGCAAAGAGCUAGAACUUCUGGGACAACGGGACAUGAACUGGACCAUGGAUGGUGUUUCCAGGCAAGCAGCAUCUAUAGCUACUGGCCCAACCUUUAUUAGUUUCAGUUGGAGCUGCAUCUUUUCCAAAUGAAAACUUUGCUGUGACAAGAUAAGCAUGAAGAAAAUGAGGAACAUCUUUCCUCUCAAAAGUCUGGUUUAAGUGGCUUCCUUUGAAUCAUACAGUAAUCUUGUGACAGAUGAUGAUACAAAAUGCAUUUUCUAAGCUGGCAUUACACUGCCUUAACGGUAGGAAUAAAGCCCACUGAAAAACAGAUUGCUGCUUCAGUGUUGGUGUAAAACUGAAAUUAUAAACUUGCAUGAUGAAUUGCUGAGCUGCUCAGAACAAAAGAUUUCAACUACAUCAGAAAGAAAAGGUACUCCCUGAAUUUAUUAUUCAGGUGUUCCAUAAAGGUAAUGAUCUUACAAGAAAUAUGUUUUGUCAAAUAAACAAUUUUUGUGCAAAACACAAAUAAUUUUAAGUACCCAAUAAUUUUAACUAGUUUGGCCUUUUAAUUGCCUUGAGUUCCACAUUUUUUGUUUUAUAACUUGAAAAAGUAAUAGGAAGUCUUAAUCAUAUUAUGACUAAGCUGACAUACACAGCUAUUCUCUGGGCAUCUUGUUCACUGUCUAAACAUAAGAAUGCAGAUUAAGAUCAUAUAAUUAAUGACUUUAUUAUAAGGCCUAUAGAAAAGAGCCCUAAGUUAAUAUCAGUCAGCUUUACUUAUGGUAACUCCCAAUUUUAAGUCAUGCUUUUUCAACAAUAAUAUCUAUUUUUUUGUCCUUAUAAAAAAGUAAAAUAAGUAACUAAUUAAAUCUUUUUUUCUACUUAAACAUAGUCAUUAACACCCUGAUGAUAGGGGCCUGCUUUCUCUCUUAUUUCCUAAAGAAUUGAUGACUAAUGAGGAAUUAUUAGUAGUGUAGUAAUAUGAAUAAUUCUGAAAUAGAAAUAAAUUAUAGGCUUUUAUAAUUACACUUCAAUGUUGUACAAAUCAUCACAAUAACAAACUUUUGUUAAUCAUUACAAACUUGAUAAGCUCACUGACAUACAGCAAUGUCUUAAAAACGUGUUAGAAGUAAUGUAAGACAAUUGUGCUGUCUCUGAUUGUUAUAUUAAUAUAUCAUUACAAAUAUUCCCCCCAGUUUUCAUUUGCAUUGGAUAAUGAGCAUUGUGGUAGACAGCAAAAAACAUUAAUUAGCUAAACAGUGUUGAGAACAAUUGACUGACUUGAACUUAGUGGCUUACACAGUGGGUGCUGUACUACUACAAAGUAUUGCAUGGAAGAGUAAACUAUUAUAUAUUUAUAGAUAUAUAUAUCAGCUCAAGGGUAAAUUUAAGUUUAAAUUUGGACUAGAAGUCAUUACUUGGGCAAUAAUACUGAUCUGAAUCUGAAGUUUUCAUAAAUAAUUUGUUUACUGUUAAUGUAAAUCGGUCGACUCCUGUUUUAUCUCCAGGACUCUAUAGAUCAAACACAGAAAAAGAUAAUGUGAAUAAUCUGGACCUAUCAUAUCCAGUCUUGUUUAUGGCAAUUACAUAUUUUUAAAAAUGUAGAGUUACAAAAAGAGAUAAUUAUUUAGGCCACAAGGAGUUGUGGCUAAAGCUAGUUUAUUGCACAAAUUGUUAGUUACUAAUUAAGGAAUACUCAUAGGAAGAAUAUGGGAACAUGAGUGUUGCUACUCUGUCUGGUAUCUCAAGGCUUCAAUAAUUUUGCUUAUUUGCAGAGAUCAGCAUGUUUUUUCAUAUUUGUAACUUCUAGCAAAGUUCUUUAAAAACAUUCUUAAAUGAAAUCUUACAGUGCUCCUUUGGUCUCCUGACCUACAAGAAAUGUUUUAGAAGCCUUGUUACCUGCAUUUCUGUAAUUUCCUAAUGUAUCUCACCAUUUUCAGGGAAAGACAAGCAAAGUGUUUCCUGCUUUGGAUACAGGGCUGUUUCAACUUUGUAUUUCCUCUUCACAUGCUUUCUAAAAGUUAGAAUUAAGAUUUUGGUUUCAACUUCAUAUCAUUACAGCUUCCAAAAGAAAGGGAUGAUGGCUAGCAACUGGCUUUAAUGUGGCUUAAGCAUGUUUGAAAGGCUUUAUUGAGUAAGCUCAGAGACCUGACUUCUUGCUACUUGAAAGCUCCACAGGGCUUAAUUUCCCUAGCCUUUCAUUGUCACCUUAUUUCUGUUAUAAAUCCCAGCACUCCUUUGUAAUUAAUUGUGCAAAUGAAUAAUAUCAGUGUAGAGAUAGUGGUCUUGGGCCAAAAGCAACUGCUGUAUUUCAUGCACUCCUCAGAAGUGGCUAUCCACUACCACAAGAACAAAGAAAAUGAGGUCAAUGAAAAUCCCUCAUUUCCACUUCAAAUGAGAGCUAGCUAUAAAGAACA